UGAAGCAGUGAUUGAGCACCUGGUGAGGGGUGUGGCCAGCCCUGCCAGCACAGGUGGAAGCAAUUUACCUGUGGGACCGGAUAGGGCUGAGCUUGGCUCCACCCCCUCCCUGCCCAUAUUUAAGGGCUGGGAACAGCAAGGGCAGCAUUCUGCUUGGGGACUGCCUUCUUGGGAGCAUUGGGAGUGAGUUCUGCCCUUUGGAAUGGGGUCUGUCAGCAGAAAGAGCAGCAACUGCACCUGGAGACUGCUUCCUUUAGAAUGUGGGGUGAACCCUUGAAACUGGGGCUGUGACCUUUCCUGUUUUUGGGGCAUCCUGACCACAU